CAGUCGCCGCGGGAAUACGUAGGGUGCGAGCGUUAAUCGGAAUUACUGGGCGUAAAGCGUGCGCAGGCGGCUUUGCAAGACAGAUGUGAAAUCCCCGGGCUCAACCUGGGAACUGCAUUUGUGACUGCAAGGCUAGAGUGCGGCAGAGGGAGAUGGAAUUCCGCGUGUAGCAGUGAAAUGCGUAGAUAUGCGGAGGAACACCGAUGGCGAAGGCAAUCUCCUGGGCCUGCACUGACGCUCAUGCACGAAAGCGUGGGGAGCAAACAGGAUUAGAGACCCGAGUAGUCCCUGUCUCUUAUAA
rnacentral:rRNA from 1 species